AGAGUUUGAUCCUGGCUCAGAUUAAACGCUGGCGGCAUGCCUUACACAUGCAAGUCGAACGGUAGCGCGGGGCAACCUGGCGACGAGUGGCGAACGGGUGAGUAAAGCAUCGGAACGUGCCCUGGAAUGGGGGAUAACGUAGCGAAAGUUACGCUAAUACCGCAUAUUCUGUGAGCAGGAAAGCAGGGGAUCGCAAGACCUUGCGUUCUGGGAGCGGCCGAUGUCGGAUUAGCUAGUUGGUGGGGUAAAAGCCUACCAAGGCGACGAUCCGUAGCGGGUCUGAGAGGAUGAUCCGCCACACUGGGACUGAGACACGGCCCAGACUCCUACGGGAGGCAGCAGUGGGGAAUUUUGGACAAUGGGCGGAAGCCUGAUCCAGCCAUGCCGCGUGAAUGAAGAAGGCCUUCGGGUUGUAAAGCUCUUUCGGUGGGGAAGAAAUUGCACGGGUUAAUACCCUGUGUAGAUGACGGUACCCGACUAAGAAGCACCGGCUAACUACGUG
rnacentral:rRNA from 1 species